rnacentral:lncRNA from 1 species
AGCAAGGAAGAAAAAGAAGUGGAUAUGUGAUGGGACGUAAUGUAGGAAAAGGCAAAAUCAAAUCCAUGAGAUAAAAGAUAAGUAAAGGGUCCAUUUUGAAAGCCUUCUGAAUGCCAGUCUUCCUAGGCUAUUGAUACUUUUGUGGAAAUAAUAUCCUGGAGAAAUCCACAUGAAAAACAGCUCUCUCUUUUUAAAGUCUUCUCUUAUUCCUGAUAGAGUGUUGAUAGUUUAAAGGAAACAAUAUUGAAUGCCACUUUUCAUUUUUCUUUAGAAUAAUUGUACAUAGAGCUGUGGUAAAUAUAAUGGUCAAAGCUAUGUGCAUCUCAUGGGCUAGUAUUUUAAUAGGGAAUUGCAAUUUUUUUGCAGAGGUAUGAGCACAUAUUAGAUGUUAUGAUAUUUUGUUGAGGUUGAGCCCUUUUAUAGAAGUUGAGCUCAUUUCCUGAAGCAACUUAAGUAAGUCCCCUACUAACAAAUCUUGUCCAGAAAAGUUACAAAUACUAUCUAUUCCCAGUUCAAGCUUAAUUUUUACAUAAGCAAUAGCAUAUAUUUUGCAAAGCUGUUGUUCUUUUAAAAGAAGUUUUGCAUAAUCAUGAAGGUGGUGGAUGCGACAUGCAGAAUCAUUGCUCACCACUUACUGUUAUACUAGAAUUAGGUGAAACUAGUAGGAGAUCAGUUUGAAACAAAUUUUUAAAAAGUGUGAUUUUUAAGCAGCAGGUGGUGAAAUUCUGGAAUUUGUUGCCAGAAGGAAUUGUAGAGGCAGACAGGUUAAAAAAAGGAUUACAAAAAUUCAGGGACCAUAAAUAGAUAUAGAAGGACUAGAAAGUAAUGCACCUCCCAAGAUCCUUAAUCCAGCAACUCUGGACACCAGGGGAGUACAAGGGGAAGGGACCUCGGAGGGUGGCUAGGCUUCUGUGCUUUCCUGAAUAGCAUCUCAGGGGAGAUGUCUCAGCGGAGAUCUUUUUUGUCUUUUAAACAUAUUAUUUAUGUUUAAAAAAUAAAUUUAUAAGUAAUUUUAAACAAAUAAUUUAUUUAUAUUUAGGAAAAUAUAGCUCCUUUUGGUAUACGUUACUGAGUUCAAUAGGCCAGACCACCACUGUGAUGCAGGGUCCUUCUCCAUUAAUUCCAGGGGAAAAUCAAAGAGAUCUUGAAGCUUAUGUAAGUUUAAAUCAGAGAAGAGAUAAAAGAUUUGGAAUAAAUAUUCCAAAGCUGCAGUGUUAG